UCUCCCCAAAUCGAACGAUAAACCCUAGCUCAACCGAAGCAAAAUUUUUCUGAUAAUCAACAAUUCCUAAUCAACAAUUUUGAGUUUUGGUCACUGAAAUCCGUCAUUGUCAUCAUAAGGAAAACUGCAACUACCCUUCUUGAGACAGAAACAUCUUCGUCGGUCUUAAUAUGCUUCAUUUUGAUCCCGUUCUCGCCCUGUUUGGGAAGAGUGAUCCCAAGAGUUACCAGGAGUUUCUCAAGUCCUCACCCUGUUUUGCCCCUGAUCAUCUUCCUUUGCUGUUAUGUUGUGGGGGUGUAAGGAGAGGGAAAAUACACCUUCAGAUUGGGGGCAUAGAUAUAAUCAGAACUCAUAAAUAUGAGGAAAGCUACCUGGUGAAUCGUCUAGCACGGUUCAAAGUUUCAACACAUAUAGUUCUCCUUCGUGUUUUUUAACGAG
rnacentral:lncRNA from 1 species